GAUCAUUAUCGAAAUAAAUCUGAUGAGUUGCUGCUGGUUCUCUAAGGGAGCAUGUGCACACUUGUCAUCUUUAUAUCUCCACCUGUGCACCUUUUGUAGACCUGGAUCACUCUCCGAAUGCUAGCCAUUCAGGAUUGAGGAAUUGACUUCACAUUCUCUUCUUCUAUUUCCAGGCCUAUGUUUCUUCAUAUACCCCAAUGUAUGUCGUAGAAUGUAAUCAAAUGGCCUUUGUGCCUAUAAAUCUAUACAACUUUCAGCAACGGAUCUCUUGGCUCUCGCAUCGAUGAAGAACGCAGCGAAAUGCGAUAAGUAAUGUGAAUUGCAGAAUUCAGUGAAUCAUCGAAUCUUUGAACGCACCUUGCGCUCCUUGGUAUUCCGAGGAGCAUGCCUGUUUGAGUGUCAUUAAUAUAUCAACCUCUUCAGCUUUUGCUCGUUGAGUGUUGGAUGUGGGGGGUCAUUUUUGCUGGUCUUCUAUGGUCAGCUCCCCUGAAAUGCAUUAGCGGAACAAUUUGUGGACCGUUCAUUAGUGUGAUAACUAUCUACGCUAUCGACGUGAAGCAGUUCAGCUUCUAACAGUCCAUUGACUUGGACAAAAUUUUUAUUAAUGUGACCUCAAAUCAGGUAGGACUACCCGCUGAACUUAAGCAUAUCAAUAAGCGGAGGAAAAGAAACUAACAAGGAUUCCCCUAGUAACUGCGAGUGAAGCGGGAAAAGCUCAAAUUUAAAAUCUGUCAGUCUUU
rnacentral:sRNA from 2 species